AUUGAACGCUAGCGGGAUGCCUUACACAUGCAAGUCGAACGGAGUGGCGAACGGGUGAGUAAUGAAUCGGAACGUGCCCAGUAGCGGGGGAUAGCUACGCGCAAGCGUAGCUAAUACCGCCUACUAUAGGACCGGCCACUAUAGUUUUGGCUAGGUGGUGGGGUAACGGCUCACCAGGGCGACGAUCCUUAGCUGGGUUGAGAGGACGAACAGCCACACUGGGACGGAGACACGGCCCAGACGCCUACGGGAGGCAGCAGUGGGGAAUUUUGGAAAAUGGGGGAAACCCUGAUACAGCCAUCCCGCGUGUUCGAUGAAGGCCUUAGGGUUGUAAAGCACUUUUGGCAGGAAGGCGGUACCUGCAGAAUAAGCACCGGCUAACUACGUGCCAGCAGCCGCGGUAAUUC
rnacentral:rRNA from 1 species